rnacentral:rRNA from 1 species
AUUGAACGCUGGUGGCAUGCUUAACACAUGCAAGUUGCACGGCAGCAUGAUCUUGCUUGCAAGAUUGAUGGCGAGUAGCGGACGGGUGAGUAAUGCCUAGGAAAUUGCCCUGAUGUGGGGGAUAACCAUUGGAAACGAUGGCUAAUACCGCAUAAUGCCUACGGGCCAAAGAGGGGGACCUUCGGGCCUCUCGCGUCAGGAUAUGCCUAGGUGGGAUUAGCUAGUUGGUGAGGUAAUGGCUCACCAAGGCGACGAUCCCUAGCUGGUCUGAGAGGAUGAUCAGCCACACUGGGAACUGAGACACGGUCCAGACUCCUACGGGAGGCAGCAGUGGGGAAUAUUGCACAAUGGGCGCAAGCCUGAUGCAGCCAUGCCGCGUGUGUGAAGAAGGCCUUCGGGUUGUAAAGCACUUUCAGUCGUGAGGAAGGUAGUGUAGUUAAUACC